UACGUAGGGCGCAAGCGUUGUCCGGAAUUAUUGGGCGUAAAGAGCUCGUAGGCGGCCUGUUACGUCUGCUGUGAAAUCCCGGGGCUUAACCCCGGGCGUGCAGUGGAUACGGGCAGGCUGGAGGUAGGUAGGGGAGAAUGGAAUUCCCGGUGUAGCGGUGAAAUGCGCAGAUAUCGGGAGGAACACCGGUGGCGAAGGCAGAUCUCUGGGCCGUAACUGACGCUGAGGAGCGAAAGCAUGGGGAGCGAACAGG
rnacentral:rRNA from 1 species